GCAAAAUCGUCGUUUUGGCGCAACGAUGGAGCCAUGGAAUGAAAAAAAAAAACUGAGUUCAUGAAAUAAUUCCCGGACUCUUAAUCAUACAGGCCCAGCGAUGUGGCUAAUGACGCAGCAUAUAGCUGAGCUGGUUAAUAGGUAACCUUUUCGGCUUUGAUUUUCGAAUUUUCCGGUAUUAAGUUCGUAUAAAAUCAGGCAAAUAUGCUUAUUGUACCCUGCGCAAGCGGAGCGUCGGCCUGGUGCGGCGCAUGCGAGCCAGCUCCAACAACACCCUGGCUAUGAUAGCGAGCCGGCUGGACAGCGUCUACAUCAACCAAUGCUGUGGACAUAAUGCAAUUCAAUUUAUUUAAAUUGCAUUAUAUAAUUAUUAUUAAUCAGUUAAAAACGUGUUACUAACCCUAGAUUCUUACAUUUAUUUAUAUAUUUACUAACAAAUUUUUUUAUGAGUCUUGAUGCUCGAAAGAAAGAAUAUUAUUAUUGUUAUUCUCAAAAAAAAUGACAUGAGGAAUGAAAAUCGAAUGAAACCGACAGCAUGAUCAGAUAAAAGAGAAAAAGAUCUGUUGAUGAGAAAUUAUUUGAUUUUAUCACGAAAAAAAACUAUGUAUACUUAUGUAAUUACUCUAGCAAAUUGUUAAUAAAUUAUCAGUAGCCAAUAAAUAUUACGAUUACUGUUUUGAAUCUCAGUGGAGAAUCAAUUUCGUCGGAAUAUAUGUUCAUAACUCGAAUCCUUGAAAAAAAAACCUUUUAUUUAAAAAAAAUGUUUUAUUAAUUUAU